UCAGAAACUACGCUUGUGGCGUGUNUUAGUCAUGCAAGUCGAACGAGAAAGCUCUCUUCGGAGAGUGAGUACAGUGGCGAACGGGUGAGUAACGCGUGGGUAACUUGCCUUUGAGUUGGGGAUAACACUUCUAACGAGGUGCUAAUACCKAAUAAUAAAAUGGGGUUUAUGCCCUCAUUUUUAWRGGUGGCCUCKGCUUGCAAGCUGCCGCUUGAAGAUGGACCCGCGUCCUAUUAGCUAGUUGGUGAGGUAAUGGCUUACCAAGGCGAUGAUGGGUAGCCGGCCUGARAGGGUGAACGGCCACMCUGGAACUGASACAAGGUCCAGUCCCUUACGGGGGCCARCAGUCUAGAAAUUUGCWCAAUCGACGAAAGUCGGAUGCAGCGACSCCACGUGGAGGAUGAAGCCCUUCGGGGCGUAAACUCCUGUCAGGAGGGAASAAGGCGUAGGCGCUAAUAGCGUCUAUUGCUUGACGGUACCUUCAGAGGAAGCUCCGGCUAACUACGUGCCAGCAGCCGCGGUAAUACGUAGGGAGCGAGCGUUGUUCGGAUUUACUGGGCGUAAAGAGCACGUAGGCGGGUAUGCAAGUCGGUUGUGAAAUCCUCUGGCUCAACCAGAGAAUUGCAGCCGAAACUGUAUACCUUGAGUCCAGCAGAGGGAAUCGGAAUCAGUCGUGUAGCGGUGAAAUGCGUAGAUAUGACUGAGAACACCGGUGGCGAAGGCGGAUUCCUGGGCUGGCACUGACGCUGAGGUGCGAAAGUGUGGGGAGCGAACAGGAUUAGAUACCCUGGUAGUCCACACCGUAAACGAUGGGUACUAGGUGUUGGAGGUAAUUGACCCCUUUAGUGCCGUAGCUAACGCAUUAA
rnacentral:rRNA from 1 species